CACCAACCUCUUCUUUGGUACUGAACAAAAAGGAAGAAUCGCAGGAUGAGAAUUUUGUCGCUGGGAAAACUUUCUCUGGAGUCAAUUGACGAUUGACUAGCACCAUGAAACGGACUUUUUUGACAGGAAAGUUGGAAGAGCUGCACCUCUGUCUUGAAGAGAAAAAACAAGCUUUGGAAAUGAUGCUUUGUGCCUGUG